AGAGGGUAUUUUAGAGGCAUUAAUAAUUUUCCUAUUCUUCCCACUGAGGAAUGUAUUUCAUUGUAAUUAAUUCUUUUUUUUCAAGUUCAAAGUGUUUCUUUUUAUUUUAUUAUUUCUUUGCUUUUUAGGGCCAUACCUACAGCACAUGGAGGUUCCCAGGCUAGGGGUCAAAAUCAGAGCUGUCUCUGCCAGCCUAAACCACAGCCAUAGCAACACUAGAUCUGAGCUGCAUCCGCAACCUAUACCAUAGCUCACAGCAACGCCAGAUCCUUAACCCACCGAGUGAGGCCAGGGAUUGAACCAGCAUCCUCAUGGAUGCUAGUCAGAGUCAUUUCCACUGAGUCACGAUGGGAACUCCUAUAAUUCAUUUUUGAAUUAGGUGAACUGCAUCCUUUUUAGCUAAACUUGUAAGUAAUUUCCUUUUUGCUCAAGCCAUUAUUAUUUUUUUCUCCAUAAAUAUUUAUUCAGAGUUUAUGACAUGUAAGGCCACUUUUUAGAUAAUGCCCAUACACCAGCAAACAAAACAUACCAAGCCCUGCCUUCAUGGAACUCACAUUCUAAUGGAGAGAGAGAUACAGUGAACAAGGUAUGUAAGGAAUUACUUUAUAUAUAAAGUGUGUUAGGUAGUGAUAUAUGCUAAGAAAAAGGAAGUAGAGUAGGAAUUAUGAAUGCUGUUGAGGGUGAAAAGAAGUUUAAAUUUCAUACUGUGUAUUAAGUAUUGUGCAUUAAGUUUCUGUCACAUAUCGCCAAAAAGUUUAUUACAAAGUCCAAGAUAACGUGAGUUCAUCACCCUAUUCAUUUUAUUUAUCUUCCUUUUAACUUUGACCUUCUACAUUACCAUCAUAUUGCACGGAAAGAAUCUGUCCCAAAAGAUUAUAGCAUGAUCUUAUUUUGCAGCAUUUACUCCACCUUUUAAAUUUGUUUAUGUUAUUAGGUUAGGUACACCUAAAUAUUUAUAGUAUUGGGGUGCUUCGAAAUCUCAAAUUCACAUUCUUCAUCUAAAAUGACAAUAACCAGGUGACUAUAGUUGUUAACAAUGAGCAUGGCUGCUUUAUUAACUUUUGCUGCAAUACUGCACAUAAAAAACAACCUCACAAGCUCUGUGGCUUAUAACAACAAACUUUUUAUUUCACGGUCUCAAUAUGACAGACUUUUGAUCUCGGGAUGGAUCAGAAAAGCUUGAAAGUGAUGUGUGGCAACCUGCUUCUCAAGGACAUGGCUCAGAAAUGGCACCCUAUCGUUACCCUUCAAAUUCCUUUGAUCAGUUCAAGCCACAAGGUCAAGCCUAACAUAUUGGAUGAAAAAGUAUAUGCCAAUCACAGUGAGCCAUUGCAAAGGCAGCAAGGAAAGGAAGAAUUUUUAAUAACUAAUACAAUCUACCAUACUCACUAAGUUUAAUUCUACAAACUAAGCACUAGAAUACUGGGGAGUGAUCUAAAUAUGGCUACACAAUAAAAAUUCUGGAAACAUUGUCUUAUUCAGGUCAUACAGUAAGAUCUGCCAGAAGAGAAGCAGGACUUAAAAAACGAAAACAAAAAAACACCUAUAUAAAAGGUGAUAUGCCCAUAAAUGGAAUAUCUCCAUCUAGGUGCCUGAACAUGCCAUGCUUCAGUACGCCCCUUGCCUUCUACCUGAAAUUGCCUGUCCUUCACAAUUGAUACUCUCCUUUGCAAAGCUCUGCUUGGCAUUCUCUCCUCUCUAAUUUAACUUCGCUUCCUAUUUUGGCUGUUUAUUACAGAAUGUGUAUAAGACUGAAACACAUUUAUUGUAAUUUAUCAUAAAUGUGCUGUGAACCCAUAGUUUAACAGCAUUAUGGGCUCUCUGAAGAUGAGCACAGUAUAUUCACCUCUGUACACCAAAGCUUAGUUUAGUUCCUGGCGGUAGGGAUGUUCCAAUACCAGACAAUCCAUUUAAUCUAAAUGAUCCUAAAAUUUCUUCCUACCCUAAUGUUAAGCACAAAGCAUUGUAUUAUCACAAGAGUUUGGAGUAAAGUUGCUCUAAAACACUAUCAGUGAUUCUCCAGCCUUAAUGCUAAAAAUCCUACACAGGAAUAAUCAAAAAAAGCUACUCUGCUUGCUGCAUUUAAACAGUGCUUGCUCCAACCUUUAGUUCCCAACCUUGGAUUUCUUUUCCUCGGGGUCCUCUUUUUAUUCAGUGUUCAGUUGGGCUCAGUCUUUGGAUUGCUGUUCAUUCUGCUGAUCAUUUCACAGCAAUGAUUUUGGCAGACAAAGCAACUCCUAUGCAUAGCCAGGUGUUCGCUCUGGCACCCUCACCACUGGAAGGGGUUGACUCAGAUGUUUCCCACACCUGUGAAUUGGCUGCCCAAUCUUAACCAGCUCCCAUGAACUUAAUUAUCAUGCUCAAUUUCAACAUUAAAAAAAAAAGAGUUAAGAGAACAUGCAUAAAAAUUCAGAUGCUGCUGCUUCUUGCCAUCCCCUGCCAGGUCCUCCUCAACAGAACACUACUGUAAACAAAUUAGUGUUUCUUCAUCAUCAUUUUAUCUUGAUUUGUAGGAUGUGGAAAUGGCAUACAACUCCUUAUGUCUGAAGAGCUGAUUCAUUUCACUGAUGAAAGCAUCUCUGUGCUUACCCAUCAGAUUGUGACUAAGAUGUUCAACCUACAAUCCAUGGGGAAAGCUCCAGGAAUGACCUUCACACUGAAAAUAUAUUCUUGAAACAUUUUACAUUUUUAGACAUCAAAAAGUAGAAUCAUAAUAAAAUUGUAAACAUAAUUAGACUUUGAAUACUCUCAUAACUUUCUCUCUUCUCUCAGUCAAUGAUUUGCUGCAUUUCCUUAAGAAUGUUUUGUGUACACUCCAAAUUCAUUUGUUUAAUACCUUUCCUGUUGCCCCAUUUGUUCUGUCUACUGUACCAACCAAGUGGCCAAAAUUCCAUGUUUAUUCUCCAUAAUCAAAACUAAGGUACUGUCAUAAGAAGAGACAUAUAGAUCACUGGUAAAUAAAUGAGAUUCCAGAAACAAACCCAUACAUACAUAGUUAAAUGACUAUGACAAGGGCACCAUGACAAAUUACUGGGGAAGAAGAGUCUUUUCAACAAAUGGUGCUAAGACAACUGGAUAUCCAUUUACAAUGAAUUAAGUUGGACAUAUCCAAAUUUCUCCCAACAUAUGCAAAAUUAAUUCAAAAUUAAUCAAAAAACUUAAAAGUGAGAAAAAACUUUAAAGCUCUUAAAAGAAAAUAGAUAUAAAUAUUUGUUACCAAGAUUAGGAAAUGGUUUCUUAGAUAUGGCCCCUAGAGCACAACCAACCAAGGAUAAAAACAGAUAAAUUGGAUUUCAUCAAAUUUAAAAAAAAA
ensembl:lncRNA